rnacentral:rRNA from 1 species
CCUACGGGCGGCAGCAGUAGGGAAUAUUGCUCAAUGGGGGAAACCCUGAAGCAGCAACGCCGCGUGGAGGAUGAAGGUUUUCGGAUUGUAAACUCCUUUUGUUAGAGAAGAUAAUGACGGUAUCUAACGAAUAAUCACCGGCUAACUCCGGGCCAGCAGCCGCGGUAAUACGGCGGGUGCAGGCGUUACUCGGAAUCAAUGGGCGUAAAGAGCGCGUAGGCGGGUUAGCAAGUCCGAUGUGAAAUCCUAUGGUGUAACCAUAGAACUGCAUUUGAAACUGGUAGUCUCGAGUAUGGGAGAGGUAGGUGGAAUUCGUGGUGUAGGGGUAAAAUCCGUAGAGAUCAAGAGGAAUACUCAUUGCGAAGGCGACCUGCUAGAACAUAACUGACGCUGAUGCGCGAAAGCGUGGGGAGCAAACAGGAUUAGAUACCCCAGUAGUC